AGAUGAAACUGCCNACACAAGGGUACCUACAGCAAACUGCUCAUGGAGAGUUAUGAGUCCUGGAUGACAGUGGUAAUGGGGACGGCUAAGCAGACUGACUCCUCCCAGGAAAAGGCCUGCAAUCACCAGGCAAUGACUUUAGGGUAAGAACGGCAAUUUUUAUCUCUUCGCAAUGUGUGUAUGGAGACUACAGUUCUAAUACUGGAACUUUGGUGCCAUUGGUUUGGGAAGGAAUGGCCAUCAGCAGUGAAACAGCUCUGGGCUGUAUUAGAUAACGUGAAGAUGAAUUUAAAACUUGGAGUCAAUAUUACUUAUUGCAGUAUUGGAAAAGUGAAGGACAAUAAAUGUGUUUUUACCCAAAUGCUGCGUCCUAGUCAUAACACUUAAAAUAAUAGGCAUAGUUUCAGAAUUAUUUCAUAUUCCAUGGACAAGCUAAUUUGCUAAUCUUUUCCCCAAAAUGAGGCGGGUAACUAUUUCUUUGUGUAUGCUUUAAUGUCCAUGUGAUAACAUCUUGUAUUAUAUUUUUUAUGUCUUGUAUAUUCUUUAUACAUGUAAGUCAUGAACACAAAAAUUUCCAUGAAUAAUAAAUCCAGCUCAUGAAAUCCUUCAAA